GACAGAGGAUGCAAACGUUGCUCGGAAUUACUGGGCGUAAAGCGCGCGCAGGUGGUCUCGUAAGUCGGGUGUGAAAUCCCGGGGCUCAACCUCGGAAGUGCACUCGAUACUGCAAGACUUGAGUACUGGAGAGGAGAGCGGAAUUCCCGGUGUAGAGGUGAAAUUCGUAGAUAUCGGGAGGAACACCAGUGGCGAAGGCGGCUCUCUGGACAGAUACUGACACUGAGGCGCGAAAGCGUGGGAAGCAAACAGG
rnacentral:rRNA from 1 species